rnacentral:rRNA from 1 species
CCCUUAGAUGUUCUGGGCCGCACGCGCGCUACACUGACGAAUGCAACGAGCUUAUAACCUUGGCCGAAAGGUCUGGGUAAUCUCCAAAUUUCGUCGUGAUGGGGAUAGAUUAUUGCAAUUAUUAAUCUUCAACGAGGAAUGCCUAGUAAGCGCAAGUCAUCAGCUUGCGUUGAUUACGUCCCUGCCCUUUGUACACACCGCCCGUCGCUCCUACCGAUUGAAUGGUCCGGUGAAGCGUUCGGACCGUGGCCUUUGGACGGUUCGCCGUCUGUUGGCUGCGGGAAGUUCGUUAAACCUUAUCAUUUAGAGGAAGGAGAAGUCGGAACA